GAUAAAGAACGUAGCGAAAUGCGAUACGUAGUGUGAAUUGCAGAAUUCAGUGAAUCAUCGAAUCUUUGAACGCACAUUGCACCUCUCGGUAUUCCGGGAGGUAUGCCUGUUCGAGCGUCAUUUGUACCCUCAAGCUCUGCUUGGUGUUGGGUGUUUGUUCCGCCUCUGUGUGUGAACUCGCCUCAAAACAAUUGGCAGCCGGCGUACUUGUUUCGGAGCGCAGCACAUUUUGCGAUCCAGAUCAACGUACAGCGGCAUCCAAGAAGCCUUAUUUAACGCUCUUGACCUCGGAUCAGGUAGGGAUACCCGCUGAACUUAAGCAUAUCAAUAAGCGGAGGA
rnacentral:misc_RNA from 1 species